UACAGAGGUCUCAACCGUUGUUCGGAUUCAUUGGGCGUAAAGGGUGCGUAGGCGGUCGCGCAAGUCGGAUGUGAAAUCUCAGGGCUCAACCCUGAAACUGCAUUCGAUACUGCGUGGCUAGAGUGCUGGAGAGGAGACUGGAAUUUACGGUGUAGCAGUGAAAUGCGUAGAUAUCGUAAGGAAGACCAGUGGCGAAGGCGGAUCUCUGGGCCAGUACUGACACUGAGGAGCGAAAGCGUGGGUAGCAAACAGG
rnacentral:rRNA from 1 species